rnacentral:rRNA from 1 species
UACGUAGGGUGCAAGCGUUAAUCGGAAUUACUGGGCGUAAAGCGUGCGCAGGCGGUUUUGUAAGUCUGUCGUGAAAGCCCCGGGCUCAACCUGGGAAUUGCGAUGGAGACUGCAAGGCUUGAAUCUGGCAGAGGGGGGUAGAAUUCCACGUGUAGCAGGUGAAAUGCGUAGAUAUGUGGAGGAACACCGAUGGCGAAGGCAGCCCCCUGGGUCAAAACUGACGCUCAUGCACGAAAGCGUGGGGAGCAAACAGG